rnacentral:tRNA from 1 species
GAAGAUAUAGCUCAAUUGGUAAAAUGUUUGCCUAGAAUGCAUGAAGUUCUGGGCUUGAUCCCCAGUUUUACA